CUGUUGGGACUGGUCAGAGCAGUAACACUGUCCUUGAUUUGCCGGUUCGUGGGGAAUCCAGAAUACUGAGCAGAUGACUGAAGAUGAAGGGAUCAUAAAGCAGAUCAGGUAAGCUGAUGCAAGAAGUAACAAGAAGACCAGACACAGGUAGUGAUGGGAAGGUGGCUUUAUACUGUGGUUGAUUAGUGUAGACAGGUGAGGAGAAUCAGAACUCUGGU